GCAUGUGAUCAUACCAGCACUAAAGCACCGGAUCCCAUCAGAACUUCGAAGUUAAGCGUGCUUGGGCGAGAGUAGUACUAGGAUGGGUGACCUCCUGGGAAGUCCUCGUGUUGCAUUCC
rnacentral:rRNA from 1 species